rnacentral:rRNA from 1 species
UACGUAAGGGGCAAGCGUUGUCCGGAAUCACUGGGCGUAAAGCGCGCGUAGGCGGACCUGCAAGUCGGGGGUGAAAGCCCGAGGCUCAACCUCGGAACUGCCUUCGAUACUGCGGGUCUCGAGUCCGGGAGAGGUGAGUGGAAUUCCUAGUGUAGAGGUGAAAUUCGUAGAUAUUAGGAAGAACACCAGUGGCGAAGGCGGCUCACUGGCCCGGUACUGACGCUGAGGCGCGAAAGCGUGGGGAGCAAACAGG